ACACCUGCCGAUCCCUGCGCAUCGCACCCAUCCCCGCCGCCAUACCUGCCGUCCCCUGCGCCACCCAUCCCCACCUCGCCCCGCCCGCCGCCUCUCCUUCACGCCGGCGCCCGCUCGCCUCGCCUGCACCGGUCGCCACGCGCUCGCCCCGCAAGGCAAGGAGCUCCCUUCCCCAACCCGAUCUGAUGGAAAGAGGACCAAGCCUUAACGGUCCGGCUGUGGGAGCCACCGUAGAGCCUCCAUGUCGGUGGAGCAGAGCAGCCCGUCGGUGGUCACGACCACGUCAUUCCCUGAUCUCGUCCCGCAGAUCACCGUCUUGCUCCUCCGCCCCACCGCCAUUCCGUUGGAGAUGAGGAUUGCAUUGUUGCGCCGCCGCCGCCGCCACUUCCUACAGACUCCCUGACUCACAGUGCAAGACAUCCCAACUCGGUUCCAUCCGGGUAAAUGCCGCCGCCGCCCUUGGCAGGAUCCCUUUUGGCGGCUUGGAUCUAGGCAAACGAGGAGCGGAAGGAGAGAAGUACGUCUAUGACUCGGGUCAUGGGGAUGGAUGGAUCUCUCGGUAAUGGUGGAUCCAGAGUUCCAGACUCAGUUCAUCUUAUAGGCUUAAUUCGUACUGUAUCAUUUUGAUGAAUACGUUGCUCCCCUAUUUUUUCUACAAUCAAGAUGAUUUUCCUCUGUGGGGUAUGCAUAUCAUCUUCUUUCGUUUUCAUUAGAACAUAUCAUAUUUUGUUUGACACGCAGGUACAACGAUGGCAAAUAUUUGUUUUCAUCAGAAGUAUAUUUUCAUGAGAUACAAUGGCAAUCAGGCGGCACAUGCAGAAGAGUUGUGGAAGGUUGAUUGAGAAGUCAUAAGGACUGGGUGAAGCAAAAUGCAAUCUCCAAGUUUCAGGUUUCAAAAUGAGAAAUUGGAGCAUUAAGACCUUUGAACUGAAACCUAAAUAAAGGUAUACAUAUUUAUGUUGGUCUAAAGCCACCAUGUUUUAUCUGUAGAAAAUAGAAAUCGCCGUUCGGUUUCAUUUACAAAUUAAAUUAAACUAUAGACAUAGUCCACGACGUCGGGACAAAUAGAGUAACUAAUUAUAUGUAUGUUUCUUCCAGCAAAGAACUUAUUAUAAAACGGGACACCAAAAAAUCCAGUGGGAAAUUGAUGGGCUCCCCUCUUCGUAAAAAAGUUACUUCACGGCAUUGCCUAAUGUACAGAGAAAUCACGGGGUCAAAAAUUGCUUUCCCGCCCAUGACAUAAUUUAUACAGCAUCACAGAGUGCCUUUUUAUGCAUAAUCGACUUCCCUCGGAAAAGCAUUUGUAAGAUAGCUAAUCAACAUGUCAUUUGUUCUUAAUUCAGAACUGUGCAUGCAUCCAACAGAGAAAGGUGCGUACAUAUCCUGAGGGACAAUAAAAAACGUGAGUUCUUUAUGGCAUAAUAUCAGGCACCGUUCUGAGUGAUCUCUUUGCAACUCAAGAUACCGAUUAGUUAUAUUAUUUCCUACCUGUAACCAAUUUCUGCACACCAAAACACAGAGUCAAGUCAGAUCUAUAGGAGGAUAAGUAUUCUUGGUGUGAUUACUAAUGAGACAAUGUAAGGAAUUGUUUCUAGAACUCAAUUUUAUUAUAAGUUCAAUAUCAGCACCACACAAUCUUUCUACUACCAUUCCUAGACAAAUAUCAACCCGUUACACAAGACAAUGCAAGAAAACAUAUGUCACACAUGACUAUUCUAUUACCGCGCUUCACCGCUGCCGUCGAUGUUCCCAGCAGGCCACAUAUCCUCCAAUGGUAAUCUCAUGGGUCAUCUGAUGAGACCGAUAUGAGCCAAACUUUUAGCUUAAUGAUGCAUGGUUAGAUAUAGAUAGAAGAACCGGUUGUACUAUAUCUUUUUUUUGCCCUGAAGUAGCGCUUCUACUUCUGAUUCAUGUCUACUUCAUGGUUGACAUCUUAAAGAAAAAAUACUCUAAAUUAAAAGGUGCAAAGAUUCUGUGGAUGACAUCCAUGCAUUAAUGCAUAUAGCUCUGAGUCUUCCUUUUCUCUUAUAUAUGAAUCUAUAAUCUGCUUUUGUCCAAUGGUACAAUUUAUCAAGUUCAACAAGGGUGUGGUUAGUGCCUUUUGUCCAUUCAAUCCAAAAACGGAUCGGGUUCUACUAUCGAAAGCGAUAACAAAAAAAAACAUGAAAAAUCAACCAGGUUAGUUCCUUUUUUUGCUAAGAUUUACAAUUAAAGUCAAAUUAGUACUUAAUGUAAGGAAGGUCAAACUUUUGUCUUUACUGAUUUUUGUCUGGUUCGCAGGAGAGAGGGACGAGUUCCCCGGCAUGGGGUCAUGAGUGGUACAAACUGGAGGAUGCAUGCCGGUGGUUCUGUCAGUACAAUUUACUUAGAUUUUCAGUUCUUUUCACCUCAUAAUUAUCUUUUCUUUAUGUGUUAGUACGGUUAAACUUCUUUAUCUUUUGUUCCUUCCUACUUAUGGCCUUCGUGUGCACCUUGAUUAAGUUCUGGUGUUUAUUCGGUGCCAAUGUCUUAAGACAAUAGUUUCAUGCAUGGAUUUAUUCCAGCAUUCUAAUUUAGAGACCUUUGUGCCAGAAAGUUUGUUGCAUUCACCUUAAUAGAGAUAAUAAAAUCUUACUGAGUAACAAGCGUAAUGAUGGAGGAACGGACGUCAAUUUAAAGGUGCAUAUUAUUCAGCUUGAUUCAUUGCUGAGGAUUUUUUAAUACAUGGCUUCUAAUUCCAGACCAAGAACUUAAUUCAGAAUCUAAAAAUUGAAGGGGAGGUAGAGGGAUAUUGUUGGUGCUGUCCAGAAACAAUGCUCAUUUAUUUAUUACAGUCGAUGUAUUUCUUGUGUGUCUCAUUGAUUGAGUAUUUGAGUUGGAGCAUAAGUAUAUUAAUGUCUUAGAAUUUGCACAUAUGCUUUAUCCACUUGUCAUUGCUAUUUACAAGUCACAUAUUUAUAUUUGGAUUACAGAUUCUUUGUACUUAUUGUUGUACUUCGUGUUUUCUAUUGAGUGUGGUACCUCUUGAAGGAGGGAAAGCUAGGAUUCAUUGAUGACUGAGGUGCAGAAACUGCUGGACACGUACAAGGACGAGGAGGUGAGCAUCACGGUAAUGGGGCACAGCCUCGGGACGGAGCUGGCCACCCUGAAUGCGUUGUACAUCGCCGAGAAUGGCCGGUCACGGUGUUUGCGUUCGACAGCCCACGACCGGGCGCAGCCGGCUUCAAGAAGCGGUUCGACGUCACUGCGGCCUUUGCGACCGCAACGCCGGGACAUCGUGCCCAGGUACUCGGCGCCGCUGUAACACGAUAUGGGCUCCGAGCUGGCCAUCGACAUCGGCACAUCGCCAUACCUGAGGCCUGAGGGUGUCGCAAGCUCCAUGCACGAUCAAGGCUAGGGUGUGAAUUAUGACUGUGUCGUAUGAGGCCAUGAUUGUGGCAGGGAUGUUUGGUGGCACGAAGUUGUUUAGUAACAAGAUGGGUCUAAACUCAGCUACUAGAGAUCUGAGCGGAAACACAGGAGGAGUUCCUAUCAUCAGUUCUAGCCGUAAAGUCGAAUGCCUAUGUUGGUGAGCUCUAUAAUCCAAACACCCAGAAGAUUGUACCCCCUUCGUUCCAUAAUAAAAGAUCUUAUUACAUUCGAUGUAAUAAGAUCUUAUAUUAUCGGAUAGCGGGAGUAGAUGUUAUUUUGUACUCUUAGCAUGUAAGUUGUUUUAAACUUUUUAUUAGCAGCUUGUGACUUUUCUAAAAAGUAAGGUCAUGUAGGCACAUGGAGCGCUCCUUUUUUUCGUCACUUUCUACUCAAUUGUAGAGGUUUAUUUAUUGCAGUAUAAUAAUUACUUCUUGUUGAGGUUACUCUGCAGCACUUGCUGUCCUUGCCUUUUCUGAUAUCAAGGGGCCAAUACAACUUCUCUGAUUAUAAAUGUGUGCAACAUGACUAUUUGAAAGAAGCUCUGUUUGAGAAAUUGAGGCUAGAGUUCUGAUGUAAGUACGGCAUCAGCAUUUGUGAGCGCCUUUAUAUGCUGACCAUCUCAUCUUUGCGGCAAGUAAGCAGUUUGAUAUACUGCUUGCUUUGAUAUAGGCAUUUAGCGAUGAAAAUUGUCAUCUAUUCAUGUUUACAUAUACUUAAUCUGAUGGAGACAUGAGCCUGCCGAAUGCCUCCACGUUAGUAAUGCACAUCUCAGACGAUACACUCUUCUUCUUUCUUGACUAAACUUUCACACUGAUUAUGCAUCAUGGAUCAGAUCCAACAUAUUAGUUUAUUUGCAUGUACGUAGACGGAUGACAAGUAAAAUAAAUUCAAGGAUCUUAGUGCAGUUUGUCAGCUACAAUUUCACGAUCAUUUAUGGGCUUAGGGAGUCAUCAUCGUCUCCCCCUUCGCCUUAAUUGUCCUCACCUACAGUCCAACAACCUCCUGGAGCUCGAUUUUAUGCUCGGUUUCAGAUUUGUUAGUAAGGGACUGCUGAUCCUAUUUGUUUGUUCUGAGAACAACGAACAUGUGAACUCCCAUGACCACUCUUUAUUCUAUUUGUAAAUUUAUCUGAUUCUUUCUAUAUGUAUGUACAAUGUUCUUGUUGCGGAGCACAGGAUAGAUGUGAUACUCCAAACUCCCACUAAAUAAUUGCAUAGUUAAUGAUUCAAAUCUUAGCAUCUCAUAAUGGGUGUUGAAUUACGUUCAAGUAAUCUUAUUCGUAUUUGGUGAUCUGUUGUAGUGUACAAAUCAUUUUUCAUAUAUAUCAUGACCUCUUCGUAAUGUUUUCUUACCAUUUCUCAAUGGGCACCGGUUUCUGCUAUCACUUGCAAUUAUUUCUUAGGUAAUUUUCUGGACCAGUACACACCCAUACUUUCAGGAUUACGAACACCAGUGGGUUAAUAUGUUACUAAAACUGUUGGUACCUCAUCUGGUUGGAUGGGGGCUUAAUCUUGUUCUAAAAAAAAUACCAGUACACACAUCAAUUUAUUUUAAUGUUCUAGGAUAUAUAAUAAAUGUGUGAUGUUUUUGAACUGUGUUUCACAUGGAACUAUUGAUGUUGUUCUGAACAAAGAAAAAAGUUUGCUUGGUAGGGUUUGAGUCCUUGUUAUUAUGAAAUUUAUAUUUCAGCAUCUUGAGAACUAUGACAUUUUAAACUCCUAGAACUUAUGAAGCAGAAUAAUAUUUCAAGUUGUUUACAAUUAGGGUGGACAGGCAAUAAGGCUUCUUGAAUCUGCACAAGUCAUGUACAUUUGACAUCUCAACGUACACGUAGCGCUGCAUCAAUCUUUUGACAUAUCAUUGUCUAAUCAAAUGCUCACGAUUUAGAUGAAGUGGCAAAAUCCAUAUAGUACUUGUUCUUCUCUGAAUACGUUAGUUCCAUGUGGCUUCCGAGGUUGUGCCUUCCGGGAAUUAAAGCAGCAUUAGCAGUACUCUGUACUCAUACCCAUGAUUGACUAAUAUGAUUGCACUACCACUUGUAUUCCUUUUGUUAGUAUGCACGUAAUCUACUAUUCUUUCCGCAUUCAGAUUCUGCCUUGUGGUGUGUUUCUUUGAUUCAGAUUAUGCCUGAACCAGCGGGAGCCUUUGAAGCAGCGAGAGAGUAACGGAUGGGGAAACUGGCAGAUCCUUUUGUGUGGACGACAGCUCGACGGUGGCAACUCGACCAGGUUUGCCGUGAGAAGGCCAGACUAUGCGAGAGAUUUGGCGUGUGUAGUUUAUCUUGUCGCUAAUUACGGUGGAGUGUGGUUAGAUUAUCAGCUUUGUUAGAUGCAUAGGGCAUGGAAGGAGCGGUGGAUAUGAGCUCCUACGGCAGAACUACUAUGCCUUGAGCAACUUCAGAGGAGCCGGCUCCCACUGAGAAUACAUUUUAUUUUCUUUAGCCGAUUAAUUGCAAUAAUUAAUGAGGGCUGAUGCACCCCGGGAGCAGCUGCCAAGAUGGAAGUUGUAGCAAAUAGGACGCCUUCCAUCGAAGGGAAACUCCGGGCAACUCCGCUCUCGUUGGCUGGCGAUGCAUGAUGAGGCCAAUGGACAGCUCGGUGCUACACAAAUGAAUCAAGGAGAACAUGUUAACAGACCAGCAACGUGCUAGGAGGCCAACAGGAGCAUUACCUGGUGUUGACCGGCGGGCAAAUGACAUCAUAUAUGUUUUUGUCCAACCAAGGAUUUUGUCACAUGUGUAGUGCAGUCUAAAAAUAAUAAGCUAGGAGGUUAUGCCCUACCAUCUGCAAGAACAAUGGAUUGUGUACUGAACAUAAGCUUUUUUUUGCAAGUUUGCUCUCAGUUAUGUCUUUGGCGGGGCAUACUUGAUCAUAGAAUUUGUAUGAAAGAAGGGGUGCCGGGCAACCUGCUAGGAGAUGGCACAGAUGGGCCUUGAGGACAUGGCACCGUUCAGGAGGGCGGCAUUCCGACAACACUCCAGCAUAGACUCAUCAUGGUACCUAGACGUGGGCUGGUAAACAGAGGUAACAAGGAGCUUGAACAUCAGGACAUCAAGAAGGAAGCUGAUGAUGAUGAAUACGACCAUCUUGGCGUGGAUUGCUGCCGCUGCCAUGCCCAUGUCCAGCAACAUGUUGUUGUGCCAGUGCUGCAACCUUCUACUCCAAACACGAUCGCAGGCAAUGUGAUCAUGAACUUCUGGGAUACUUAACGUUCCCUGUAUUUUUCUAGCAAUGUCUUAGUUAGGACGUAGAUGCAAGGGCUCAUAUAAAUCUCGAUGAACUGAUAUUAGUUACCAUGAUAAUUUGGUUCUAUAUAUGGCCAUAUCCGAAUCAUUUUAGGCUUAUAAUGGCAUUUUCUUUAAUGAUUUAUUUAUAGUAUUACAAUGGUGACAAUGGAGGGAUUCUUCUCUUUUCGUAUACCAUGUAUAUUUCGUGUUUACACCUUCA